rnacentral:lncRNA from 1 species
UCUUUUCCUUUUCCCCUAAACUCCUUGGGAAACAGAACCAGCAAUGGUAUUUUCUGCAUCUAAGGGUAAUCACAGUUUUAAAAGUCUUUUUGUGAAUCUCCAUUUUGCUCUCCAAAAUGGUUGAACAGUUUAGAACUCCACCAACAGUGUAUCCAUGUCUCAGAUUUUUCAAUAUUUCCAUCAAAAUUUGUCAUUUUUUCACUUUGUCAUUUUAGCCAAUUGAGGGUCUGUGCUAUCUCAAAAUUGUUUUAGUUUACAUUUCUAUAAUCAGUAGCAACUUAGAGUAAUUUUUCAGAUAUUUAUAUAAGGCUUUGAUUAUCUACUCAUAUCUUUUGUCCAUUAUAAAUUCAGAGAUGGCUCUUAUUCUUAUAAACUUGACAAAGUUCCCUUUCAGUAUUAGAUAUGAGACCUCUAUCUGAGUGUUUACAAAAAUUUCCCCAAUGUUCUACUUUCCUUCUAAUCUUGGAAACAGCUAUCCUUUCUUCUGUCAGGUCUCUGUGUUGAUUAUGAUAAUUAAACAACAUUUUUUUUUCCUUUCCUUUAACCAAUGAACAAAUCAUUGUCCUUUGAAGCUGAACUUCAAAACCAACCCUGAUCAUGGAGGUGGGGAAGCAACAGAGAGAGAAAAGACAAAAGGAAAUCAACCAAGACAACAACAAUAAUGUGCUUAGGAUUUUCCUGUCAAAGAACUGGAACUAUUCUUAUGAACAGUAGGAUGAAAUGAUCUACCCUCAGAAGUGAGGACCUAGAUUUCAUGAGUUUACUUUUUUUGGGAUCCAACGUUCUAUCAGCCAAUCUGAAGCAUUAUUAAUAAUCAUUUUAUAAGGAAUUGGAACAUGAAAUACAUAAAGGCAAACUUCUAGUUUUUGUUUUAAAUCUUGCACUGAGUACUUAAACCACUUAAAGGAUUCAUACUGUCUAAAAGGCAAUGUGCAGUAAAUAUAACUCUUACCAGGAGGGCAAUAGGGAACAGGGAAUACAUUUUAAGAUCUAUAGAAAAAGCAAGUUUCUUGUUCUUUCAACUUGGUGUUAACUAUCUAAUUCAUGAAGCUUGAGCUUCUAAUAAAUAUUUUUUUCCUUGAAAAUCCCGUGUCA